CCAGCUGUCCACGUGUGAUUGUUGUGUCAUUUUUUCUUCUUUAUUUGCUGGACAAUUGGGGCAUCAGCUGCAGGUGGCAGGAGGCUCCAUCCCCAAGUGACUCCAUGGAUAAGGACAGGCACCAUCCAGCCCACAACCCCUCCACACCCCUAAUCAGUGCGACAUGAUGAGACACAAUCACAGCUUCCAAUCACAUCCUUGCUGAACUCACAGAGGACAAUUUAGGCAGGAACCGCACACUGCUAUGACAUAUCCACCCCACUGUGCUUUCUUGAGGAGUGAUGUCCCAUGCCCCCACUGAGCAGCCCUGUACAGUGGCCACUUUCCCUGGUAGUAAGUGAUGCAUCUACAAGGUGGCCCCAGCAGCCUUCAGCCCUGGAGUCUGCCCUAGUCCAAACCAUCCCCAUCUUUCUGGCCUCCAUGGGCCCGUGCACCCUGUUGCAUUCCUCUCUCCAUAGUCCUCAACUCAAAGCACCAAAGAAACCUUACUCAGUGUGUCUUUAUGGUGCAGAGUCCCGGCAAGCAGAGGUCUUUGUGUAGCUGUUGAAUAAAAAAUUCCUCGUGA